rnacentral:rRNA from 1 species
AACCGUUAAUUGGCAAACGAAUCGGAGCCACGAAGUCGUUUCGCUGGUCAAUCCAAGUUCAGUUUGGGAUAGCAAUAUCUCGGGCGUAUUCUUGUUGGUUGGCCAUUGUAAGCGUACACUGCAACCAGUUAGACAAUUGGCGAUGGGCCAAGUUGGGUAGAAGCCUCGGUGACUACUUAACGAAGUGCUUGUUUGCUCUAACUAGUAGUGAUAUUGUGUUUCUUCGGGAACAUGGUGUUGCUGGGUUAGAGUAAGUGAACUAUCACCAAAUACUGACUGGCACAAUGAAACUUGCUCUUAUGAGCGUGAUACACAAUGCGGCUACUCGUGUCUAAUGUCUACACAGUCAACCGUAGGGUUUAAGUUCGGCAUUUUUGAAUUUGGGCUUGCUUUCUACCAGUGGGGCAACUCCUGGUGUUGGUAUUGUCACCAUCUAAUCGGGUGACGACUUGAUUUUGCGUUGUU